rnacentral:rRNA from 1 species
CCUACGGGAGGCAGCAGUGGGGAAUAUUGCGCAAUGGGCGAAAGCCUGACGCAGCGACGCCGCGUGGGUGAUGAAGGCCUUCGGGUCGUAAAGCCCUGUCGGGAGGGACGAAGCCUCGGCGAUCUAAUACAUCGCUGACCUGACGGUACCUCCGAAGGAAGCACCGGCUAACUCCGUGCCAGCAGCCGCGGUAAUACGGAGGGUGCAAGCGUUGUUCGGAAUCACUGGGCGUAAAGCGCGUGUAGGCGGCCUCUUAAGUCUGGUGUGAAAGCCCGGGGCU